AGCAGCCGCGGUAAUUCCAGCUCCAAUAGCGUAUAUUAAAGCUGUUGCAGUUAAAAAGCUCGUAGUUGAAUUUCGGGAUCAAGGCGUCGGUCGUGCUUCGGUACGUACUGGCGUCAUUGAUUUCUCCCUUCUGACGAACCAUGAUGCCAUUAACUUGGUGUUACGGGAAAUCAGGACUGUUACUUUGAAAAAAUUAGAGUGUUUAAAGCAGGCUCACGCUUGAAUACAUUAGCAUGGAAUAAUGAAAUAGGACGUUCGAUCCUAUUUUGUUGGUUUUUAGGAUCAACGUAAUGAUUAAUAGGGAUAGUUGGGGGCAUUAGUAUUCAAUCGUCAGAGGUGAAAUUCUUGGAUUUAUUGAAGACUAACUACUGCGAAAGCAUUUGCCAAGGAUGUUUUCAUUAAUCAAGAACGAAAGUUAGGGGAUCGAAGACGUUCAGAUACCGUCGUAGUCUUAACCAUAAACUAUGCCGACUAGGGAUCGGAUGAUGUUAAUUUUUAAUGACUCAUUCGGCGCCUUAAC
rnacentral:rRNA from 1 species